UAAAGCAGUAAAGCAACAACUACAGCCAGAUGCUUCAUGGAAGAUAUGCUGUGUGCGUGUUCUUGGAAAUGCAGACUGCUAUGGAGAAGCACGACGAAAGCUUGCAAGGGCAGAAGCAACAUCAGAUCUUCAAACAGAUAAUGAUAUCCCAGAAAAGCGACGUAGAAGAUCCUCCCACAAAUGGGGCACAUUUUCUUCAAGUGAAGACAGUGUGGACUCCUCAGA